AGUGGCGGACGGGUGAGUAACGCGUGGGUAACCUGCCUUGUACUGGGGGGAAACAGUUAGAAAUGACUGCUAAUACCGCAUAAGCGCACAGGACCGCAUGGUCUAGUGUGAAAAACUCCGGUGGUGUGAGAUGGACCCGCGUUUGAUUAGCUAGUUGGUGGGGUAACGGCCUACCAAGGCGACGAUCAAUAGCCGACCUGAGAGGGUGACCGGCCACAUUGGGACUGAGACACGGCCCAA
rnacentral:rRNA from 1 species